UGAAAAUGGGUUUAAGAGUUUUUUUGAAAAUGGGUUUGGGAAGCGCAAACGGUAACUGAAGGUAACCGUUGAUGAAGCCACGUGUCGAGUGAUGGACGAGGGGUUUGGUGGAGCGUCAGAGCAGCAGAAAGUACAACCGCUUGGAAUUCUGCGUCAGUGCCACGUAGACCGGUGUUGACGUGACUCUUUCAGUCUUUUCGCUGGACAAGUCUUCGCUUAAGACUAGGGGGCUUGUGUACCGCCCUGGUAGUCGGAAGUGAUGACGUGGCAUCCCGCUACAGUAUAGGCGUGUUGACAAGGCGCCAGGUUGGCAGAAGGGAAGGAAGUCGGGGGGC
rnacentral:lncRNA from 1 species